UACGUAGGGUGCAAGCGUUGUCCGGAAUUAUUGGGCGUAAAGAGCUCGUAGGCGGUCUGUCACGUCGGCUGUGAAAACCCGGGGCUCAACCCCCGGGCCUGCAGUCGAUACGGGCAGACUAGAGUGCGGUAGGGGAGACUGGAAUUCCUGGUGUAGCGGUGAAAUGCGCAGAUAUCAGGAGGAACAGCCGGUGGCGAAGGCGGGUCUCUGGGCCGUAACUGACGCUGAGGAGCGAAAGCGUGGGGAGCGAACAGG
rnacentral:rRNA from 1 species